UGCUUUUGUUUUGUUUUUAGUGUAUUCAGCGUUGUACAACCAUCACAAUCAAAUUUAAAGCAUUUUCAUCACCCCCAGAAGAAACAUCACCUACUCAAGGCACAUUAGUUUGAGUAAACUCUGGGAGAUAGUGAAAGACAGGGAAGCCCGGCGUGCUGCAGUCCACGGGGUCGCAGAGUCAGACACGACUUAGCAACUGAACAGCAAAAGAAACCUGUACUCAUUAACAGUUAAUCUCCAGUUCCUCCAUUUUCAUCACCCCCAAAGGAAACCUGUAUUCAUUAGCAGCUCAUCUCCAACCCAUCUCGCAGCCCCAGGGAACCACAAGUCUAGUUUUUGUCUCUAGUAGAUUUCCCCAUUCUAGACAUGCCACAAAAAUCAGAUCAUAUAAUAUGGGACCUUUUGGAACUGUCAUCUUUCACUUUGGGUAUCACCUUCAGGGUUCUGUUAGGGAAAUUAAAAGGGAGGUAGUCUUAUUCAGGCUCCAGAAGCAGGAGACCAGGCCUCUGACUUGCUUCUGACCUGCAUGGACACUGCAGGAUUCUGUGCCCGCCUGCAAGCACAGCAAGUCAGGCAGCGCUUUAGGGAAGAAGGGGAGGAGGUCUUGGAAUCUCUUAAGCCCCUGAAGGCCUGGCCACGCCCCCGGGUCUAAGAAGUCCCACGGCUCACAAAGGAGACAAACAGCUUGUAAAAGGAAAACCGGAGCUGCGCUUUGCGUGUCGGUUUGCGCCCUGGAAUUAUAAGCGGGGCCCCGAAACCGCGAUCUGAAGUCUCGCCUGUAGGAUGGACUCGCUGCCUGGGACCCUGUCCCAGCUGAGACUCCAUAUUGCUGUUAACAGGGGACUUUGCAGCAGCGGUCAAGUCGGGAUGUUGGUCAGCCCAAUUUGGUGAUAUGCGUAGAGUUACUUUCUUUACUGUUUCUAUUUCAUUAACUGUAUAUUGAAAUUAAGACAAAUAAUUAUAAAAAAUCAAAAUUGCUUAUGUGCAACAACUGAUUUGCUGACAAAACUUUUGAACUUAAAAUGUAAGUAAAGCUUACAGCGGAACAGGUUCACCCAUAUUACAGGCAUUUCAUCACUUCACUGGCUGAGUGACAUUCCCUGGUACGGACGUGCCACUUUUAAUGUAUGCGUUCAUCAGCUGUUGGACUGUUUGGAUGAUUUCUGCUUUCAAACUAUUAUGGAUGUAUUUCUGGACUCUCAAGUGUGCUCCAUCAGUCUAUGUUGUCUGUAAGAAAAAAUCUAGCAGGGUUUUGAUAGAAAUUGAAUUGAAUCUUCUUAGGUCAAUUUCAGAUUUUGUCAUCUUAAGCAACUCAGUUUUGGGGUGGCUUGCUGGGCAACGGUGGCUGAUCACACAAGCAGGGUGACUACCCCAUUUGGGGAAGCAUUCAUUUUAUUACAAAUGAAAGUUCCAAAUAAUCAAACUGUAUCUGCAGUGUCUCCUUCUAGAUGGCAAGCAGGGCCUUUCUUUGGACUAAGGAGCCUCUGAUUGGUGGCUUUGGCUGCAUUUCCAAGUUGAGCCCCUGUCGUCACUUGAGCGACGGGUUCCGGUGCUGCCUGCUCCUGCUGCUUGGCUCACAUCCCUCGCCCAGGGCGUGAUGUUCUAACAGAAACAACCAGACCUCGGAUUUCAUUUCUUCUCCAGCCUUGGGUGCCUCCUGCUUGGAGCAGGGAUUUGCUGAGGGAAACUGGGGUCCUGGCUGCCCAGGCCCGUGCUAACAGAGGGAGGUGCAGCAGCAGAGCUGAGAAUCUGUGGAUGAGCAGACGACAGGAGGCUUCAGCUAGUAGUAAAGGCACUGCUUCUGUUUUUAGAGGGGUGGGCCCCGCAGUGUGUGGGGUCUUCACUUCCCAAGCAGGAAUCGAACCUGCACCCCCUGCGCAGAGUCUCAACCACUGGACCUCCAGAAAGUCCCACGUUUCUCCUUUUUUUUAAA
rnacentral:lncRNA from 1 species